rnacentral:lncRNA from 1 species
CGUCGACUAAGAGUGCUCGGAGCGUGGAUUAACUCCAGUCUCCUAUCAGGUGUGUAUUUCUCACUACUCUAGCUGUAAGAUGGCUACUUCGGGCCGCGAUGGGCCGAAAGGAGCUAUGUGGGCCCAAUGGGCCUACGGGCCCAAUUAGAUAAGUUGUUUGAUUGUGUAGUAAAUAUUGGACUAGGCUAGGUGAAUCUCAUAUUUGUGGCUAUAUUUGGGCUAAAAGGGCCACACGAGCGUGGGGCCCAUUUGGGCUGAGAAUGGGCUUUAGUGCCAUUCGUAUUGUUAUCCCUGUUUAGAAUAGUUUAGUUUACCAAAUUAUAGAAAUGCCCUCGACUUGGAAAAUUACCAAAGUACCCUCAAUUUAUAGAAUUACUGUUUUACCCUUGAUUUACAGAAUUACUGUUUUACCCUCGAUUGUGAAAUUACCGUUUUACCCUCGAUUUUGAAAUUACUAAAAUACCCCUAUAGGGUAGAAUUUCAAAAAUACCCUUAGUUUGUAAAAUUACCAAAAUACCACUGGUUUGUGAAAUUAUCGAAAUACCCUCAAUUUGUAAAAUUACCAAAAUACCCCUAAUUUAAAAAAUUACAAAAAUACCCUUAACUUUCUAAAAAUUAUAGAAAUAUAAUUGGUUUAUAAAAUUACUGAAAUACCCUUGGUUUGUAGAUUUACCAAAACACCCUUGUAGGAUGAAUUGACUAAAAUACCCCUAAUAGGUAAAAAAACCGUAAAGCCCCUGUAGGGUAAAGUGACCGUAAUACCCUUGUAUGGUAAAAUGACAAAUAUGCCCUUAUGUUCCGUAUGACUGAUGUGCUUAGGAUUUACAUAUAUUGAUAUUGGAUUAGUUAAGUUUGAGUGACAGGUGGUGGUUAUCGUAGGUGAUUGAUUAUGGAAACGUUUCAACUUCAACCCAUAACAGGUGUGUACUAACCCUCGUAGUAGCUUAGAUUAAUAUCUAUUGAGAAGCCAAAAUGCUAAAAUAUCGGCAUUUCGGGAACUUGUAAUGUUGCGUGUGGGUAUAGAUGCGAUAAAUAUGAUAAGAUCGGUGUUUGGAUCGAUGGAACGGGUAAGAACUCAAUUUUGUACACGAUGGUAAAUUGGACCUCAAUGGGCAAGAAUUGGGCCAAAUGGGCUUUUGGGCCCAUUUGGGUAAAAUUGUUAGAAAAUGGAAUUUGGAAAAGUUGCAUGUUAACACGGUUAGUAUUGUUGUAAAAUUUGGGUUAAGCAGGCUUAGUGGGCUAAAUCGGCAUUCGUAGGGCCCAUUAGGGUUUUUGGGCCCAAAAGCCUGAAUUUGAUAAGUGGGUUAAAGAUCAUUGUUUAAACACUCGGAAAUAUUGACCAUUGUAAUGAACAUGGAAAACCCUAAUUUUUGGUAAAAUUACGAAAAUACCCUUAUAAUAUGAACAAUGACUGUUUUGCCCUUGUGGGCAAGUGACUGACUUGGACUGUGUGGUUGACGGAUUUGAUUGUGAAUAUAUGUUGGUGAUAUGAAUGACUUGAGUGUGAUUGUUUGAUUCAAAUAUGGCCAUGACAUUCUUCAUACAUGACAUAUUGCAUGGGAUAUGGGUUAUAUUGAUGGAGGAAGUGCUAAAAGGGCUUUGCCCCAGUUUACCGAAAAGGGCUUUGCCCCAGUUUAUCAGAAAGGGCUUUAACCCAGUUAUUAAAAAAGGCUAGGCCUCCAGUUAUAUGAUAAAACAGCUAUUUUGCCAGUGGAGAGUUUGGUUCGGUGGGUUGAGUUAUUCCCCACAUUGAGAGCUUGGUUGGUACGGGUGGAGAGUAGUGGAUGGUGGGUCGAGUAGUCUCCCCAAAUGGGCUUGCAUACAUUCAUUGACAUUACAUGUGAUUUUGAAAUGGGCUUGCAUACAUCCAUUGGCAUUACAUGUGAUAUUGAAAUGGGCCUAAGGGCCAUACCGCUUACAGUAAAGGCUUCGGCCAGUGAUAUGAUUUAUGAAAAGGCUUCGGCCCAGUGAUAUGAUUUAUGAAAAGGCUUCGGCCCAGGCCCAGUGAUAUGAUUUAUGGAAAGGCUUCGGCCCAGUAUAUGUCAAGACUAAAUAGGGCUUUGGCCCAGAUUGUACUGAUGCCGUGUUAUUUACUGUUUGUUUGUUAUUGGGGUUACACACUGAGUUUUCGUAAACUCACCCCGUUUCUAACUGUGCAGGUAAUCCCUAAGCUUAGGUGGCUUGGAGCUGCGAGGGACUCGGAGAUGGCCACACUACUGUUUCUGUUUCUUUUAAUUGCAAUAAGUAGCCGAUUUAUUUCUUUAUAAGUUUUAUCUUAUUAAUAUUAUUAUUUGGUUUUGGGUUGUAAUAAGGCCAUUUUAAUUAUUUUUCUGGGAUUAUUUUAUCUUAUACCCUAUAUUUUUCUGAUAACGAUAUGAGUUAGACCUAGGGCGCGUUUCCAAAAUGAUAAUUGUUUUCAAAAUAACGCAACGAUACAAUUAAUCAGUUUAUCAAAAAUAUCUACUUAAAUGAAUUCCAACUCGUUUUUCUCAAAACCUAACCUAGCACCAAAGUGUGGCAAUGGUUGUGGGCAUGUCUAGGAUUGGAUCCAAUUAAGAGCUUGGUACUUAAGCAGCCUUCUAGGCUCACCUCCUCUGUUUCGGAUACUUACCUGGUGCACAGCUUCCAUUCACUUUAUUAACGUAGCAAAGACUAUAUUUUAAAACACUAAGAAGGACGUUGAAAGAGGCAUGGGUUUUCUUAAAAACUUCAAUGUGACACGUCAGAUCCGGCCAUAACGUCUGGGUCGGGUUUGGGGUGUUACAUUUAAUGGUAUCAGAGUCAAGUUGCAUAACUCGGCUGUGGUAUGGGUAGCAGAAAAUUAUUGUUGUUUUUAUUUUUCUGAAAUUGGGGUUUGAAAAGGGUUUUUUUUUAAAUUUUGUUUUGAAAUCUCUCAACGAAACUUGACUUGUUUCUGAAAAGAUGUUACUGGAGGUGUGGCACACCGAGUCUCCGGCACCAAAUCUGUGAGUUCUCUAACUCUGUUUACUGUUAUAGAUUGAAAUGCUAUAUUGAGAAACCACUAUAGAUAGUAGCACUAUACUGGAACUCUCUAGUUAGAGUAAACUGUAACUCUUGAAUUUAGAUUUAAUAUUUAUUUGGUGUGUGUUCUGGAAAUGUAGAAAUUGGUUGCAUGUGAAAUCUAUCCGCUCCGAUGGACAAAUGUUUUUGGUGUAUGUUAGUAUUAUUAGUAUCAGAGUGCGUAGCGGAAGUGUGGUGGUGUAGUCUGAGAGUGGAAAAUUUUGAGGACGAAAUUUCUUUAAAGGGAGUAGAAUUGUAACACCCCAAAUUUGGCCCUACAAGUAUUGGGCCUUGAGUGGGGGUCCGUAAGGAGGUUGUAUAUAGGUAUUUAAUUGUGUAAUGAAAUGAAACAAUUUAAUGUUUGCUUUAGUGGUUAAGGGCUUUGAGAAGUGUUGGAGAAAUCUUGGGUUCAAACUUGGGCUUUAGCAAAAAUUUUGGUAUUAAGAGAAAAAAAACCUGGAUGCUUGGAUGAGGGCUUUUAAAUUAUUGUGUUAAAUAAAUGACACAAGGAAGCUUGUAGUCUAGUGGUUGUGGCGUCAUUAAGGUUGUAUGGGAGCCUGGGUUCAAGCCUUGGCUCUUGCAAUUUCUUUUAGUUUUUUUAAGGGAACCUGGACUUUGGCCUUUAGACCUUAUAAUUAAUUGGGGAUAAAAUAUGACACAAAAAGCCUUGUUGCUUAGUGGCAAGUAGCGUGUGGAGCAUCUGAGGGGAGGCAUGGGUUCGAAUCCCAUGGCAAGCAAGGAGCAUUUAUUUUGCUAAUAGGGGGCGGCAAGAGUUGGUGUUGAAUUUAAACUCUGAUGUUGGAGGGAUCCCACAUCGGGAAGUUAACAUAAGAGUGGAUGCGAAGCUGGCUUCAAAUAAAGGGAACCAUGAGGAGAGUAAAGGUACCUUUCUUGGCUGAUCCCUUUCGUUGUAUGGCGUGCUUGUUUGGGUUGGGCAUCGGCUUAGAGUGCUCGGAGCGUGGAUUAACUCUAGUCUCCUAUCAGGUGUGUAUUUCUCACUACUCUAGCUGUAAGAUGGCUACUUCGGGCCGCGAUGGGCCGAAAGGAGCUAUGUGGGCCCAAUGGGCCUACGGGCCCAAUUGGAUAAGUUGUUUGAUUGUGUAGUAAAUAUUGGACUAGGCUAGGUGAAUCUCAUAUUUGUGGCUAGAUUUGGGCUAAAAGGGCCACACGAGCGUGGGGCCCAUUUGGGCUAAGAAUGGGCUUUAGAGCCAUUCGUAUUGUUAACCCUGUUUAGAAUACUUUAGUUUACCAAAUUACAGAAAUGCCCUCGACUUGUAAAAUUGCCAAAGUACCCUCGAUUUAUAGAAUUACUGUUUUACCCUUGAUUUACAGAAUUAUUGUUUUACCCUCGAUUGUGAAAUUACCAUUUUACCCUCGAUUGUGAAAUUACUGAAAUACCCCUAUAGGGUAGAAUUACCAAAAUACCCCUAGUUUGUAAAUUACCAAAAUACCACUAGUUUGUGAAAUUACCGAAAUACCCUUAAUUUGUAAAAUUACCAAAAUACCCCUGAUUUACAAAAUUACAGAAAUACCCUUGACUUUCUAAAAAUUAUAGAAAUACUAUUGGUUUACAAAUUACUGAAAUACCCUUGGUUUGUAGAUUUACCAAAACACCCUUGUAGGAUAAAAUGCCUAAAAUACCCCUAAUAGGUAAAAAGACCGUAAAGCCCCUGUAGGGUAAAGUGACCGUAAUACACUUGUAUGGUAAAAUGACGAAUAUGCCCUUAUGUUCCGUAUGACUGUUGUGCUUAGGAUUUACAUAUAUUGAUAUUGGAUUAGUUAAGUUUGAGUGACAGGUGGUGGUUAUCGUAGGUGAUUGAUUAUGGAAACGUUUCAAAUUCAACCCAUAACAGGUGUGUACUAACCCUCGUAGUAGCUUAGAUUAAUACUUGCUGAGAAGCCGAAAUGCUAAAAUACCAGCAUUUCGGGAACUUGUAAUGUUGCGUGUGGGUAUAGAUGCGAUAAAUACGAUAAGAUCAGUGUUUGGAUCGAUGGAACGGGUAAGAACUUAAUUUUGUGCACGAUGGUAAGUUGGGCCUCAAUGGGCAGGAAUUGGGCCAAAUGGGCUUUUGGGCCCAUUUGGGUAAAAUUUAUAGAAAAUGGAAUUUGGAAAAGUUGCAUGUUAACACGGUUAGUAUUAUUGUAAAAUUUGGGGUAGGCAAGCUUAGUGGGCUAAAUCAGCAUUCGUAAGGUCCAUUAGGGGUUUUGGGCCCAAAAGCCCGAAUUUGAUAAGUGGGUUAAAGAUCAUUGUUUAAACACUCGGAAAUAUUAAAAAUUGUAAUGAACAUGGAAAACCCUGAUUUUUUGUAAAAUUACGAAAAUACCCUUAUAAUAUGAACAAUAAAAGUUUUGCUCUUGUGGGAAAGUGACUGACUUGGACUGUGUGGUUGACGGAUUUGAUUGUGAAUAUAUUUUGGUGAUCUGAAUGACUUGACUGUGAUUGUUUGAUUCAAAUAUGGGCAUGACAUUCUUCAUACAUGACAUAUUGCAUGGGAUAUGGGUUAUAUUGAUGGAGGAAGUGCUAAAAGGGCUCUGCCCCAGUUUACCGAAAAGGGCUUUGCCCCAGUUUAUCGGAAAGGGCUUUGCCCCAGUUAUUAAAAGAGGCUAGGCCUCUAGUUAAAUGAUAAAGUAGCUAUGCUGCCAGUGAUAUGAUUUAUGAAAAGGCUUCGGCCCAGUGAUAUGAUUUAUGAAAAGGCUUCGGCCCAGGCCUAGUGAUAUGAUUUAUGGAAAGGCUUCGGCCCAGUAUAUGUCAAGACUAAAUAGGGCUUUGGCCCAGAUUGUACUGAUACCGUGUUAUUUACUGUUUGUUUGUUAUUGGGGUUACACACUGAGUUUUCGUAAACUCACCCCGUUUCUAACUGUGCAGGUAAUCCCUAAGCUUAGAUGGUUUGAAGCUGCGAGGGACUC